GGCGGCAGGCCUAACACAUGCAAGUCGAACGGUAGCGCAGAGGAGCUUGCUCCUUGGGUGACGAGUGGCGGACGGGUGAGUAAUGUCUGGGAAACUGCCCGAUGGAGGGGGAUAACUACUGGAAACGGUAGCUAAUACCGCAUAACGUCGCAAGACCAAAGAGGGGGACCUUCGGGCCUCUUGCCAUCGGAUGUGCCCAGAUGGGAUUAGCUAGUAGGUGGGGUAACGGCUCACCUAGGCGACGAUCCCUAGCUGGUCUGAGAGGAUGACCAGCCACACUGGAACUGAGACACGGUCCAGACUCCUACGGGAGGCAGCAGUGGGGAAUAUUGCACAAUGGGCGCAAGCCUGAUGCAGCCAUGCCGCGUGUAUGAAGAAGGCCUUCGGGUUGUAAAGUACUUUCAGCGAGGAGGAAGGCGUUGUGGUUAAUAACCGCAACGAUUGACGUUACUCGCAGAAGAAGCACCGGCUAACUCCGUGCCAGCAGCCGCGGUA
rnacentral:rRNA from 1 species